rnacentral:rRNA from 1 species
UACGGGGGGGAGCAAGCGUUGUUCGGAUUUACUGGGCGUAAAGGGCGCGUAGGCGGCGCAACAAGUCACUUGUGAAAUCUCCGGGCUUAACCCGGAGCGGCCAAGUGAUACUGUCGUGCUAGAGUGCGGAAGGGGCUACUGGAAUUCUCGGUGCAGCGGUGAAAUGCGUAGAUAUCGAGAGGAACACCUGCGGCGAAGGCGGGUAGCUGGGCCGACACUGACGCUGAAGCGCGAAAGCCAGGGGAGCGAACGGG